rnacentral:rRNA from 1 species
UCCGUAGGUGAACCUGCGGAAGGAUCAUUAUCGAUGGCCAACCUAGCCUUACAGGUAACUCCACAACCCCUUUUAUACGUACCUUUUGUUCUUCCUCGGCAGGGCGACCUGCCGAUGGAACCUCAUCACACCCUUUUGCAUCUAGCAUUACCUGUUCUGAUACCCUAAAUUAUUACAACUUUUAACAAUGAAUCUCUUGGCUCUAACAUCGAUGAAGAACGCAGCGAAAUGCGAUACGUAGUGUGAAUUGCAGAAUUCAGUGAAUCAUCGAAUCUUUGAACGCACAUUGCGCCCCUUGGUAUUCCGAGGGGCAGGUCUGUUCGAGCGUCAUCUACACCCUCAAGCACUGCUUGGUGAUGGGCGUCUGUCCCGCCUCUGCGCGCGGACUCGCCCCAAAGGCAUUGGCAGCGGUCCUGACCGCCUCUCGCGCAGCACAUUUGCGCGUCUCGAGGCGACGGGUCCGCGUCCACGAAGCUUUCUUACCAUUUUGACCUCGGAUCAGACCAGGAUACCCGCUGAACUUAAGCAUAUCAAUAAGGCGGGAGGGGAAGGUCGGACUGGCCAAGGGCACACAGGGGGGGAUA